rnacentral:lncRNA from 1 species
AAACACUCUGAGGUUUACUUGGAACAAAACCCUGAGGAAAAAGAUAGUGAGAGAAAAGCCAACAGAGUUCAGAGCAACCUCCAAACCCUGAAAGGAACUCAACUUGUAAACCUCACGGGCGCAACUCAAUCAAGCUCUCCAAUCAGGUUUGCCCUAUAUCCAUCAUCUUUAUGCCUUUUAUUUGAAUGCUCUAAAUGUAUGAGGUAUUAUGGGUGAAUUUGAUACCUUUUUGUGAGCCUUUUGUGAAUUUUGAUGGAAUUAUUCAUGUGGUUACAUUUUGAUUUAGGGGCAACUCUGGGUUACCCUAUUUUGUUUAUUCUAACCUGUCU